CCUACGGGAGGCUGCAGUGAGGAAUAUUGGUCAAUGGACGAGAGUCUGAACCAGCCAAGUAGCGUGAAGGAUGACUGCCCUAUGGGUUGUAAACUUCUUUUAUAAAGGAAUAAAACGAGGCACGUGUGCCUUUUUGCAUGUACUUUAUGAAUAAGGAUCGGCUAACUCCGUGCCAGCAGCCGCGGUAAUACGGAGGAUCCGAGCGUUAUCCGGAUUUAUUGGGUUUAAAGGGAGCGUAGAUGGGUUGUUAAGUCAGUUGUGAAAGGUUGCGGCUCAACCGUAAAAUUGCAAUUGAUACUGUCAGUCUUGAGUACAGUUGAGGUAGGCGGAAUUCGUGGUGUAGCGGUGAAAUGCUUAGAUAUCACGAAGAACCCCGAUUGCGAAGGCAGCUUACUAAACUGUGACUGACAUUGAUGCUCGAAAGUGUGGGUAUCAAACAGGAUUAGAUACCCUUGUAGUC
rnacentral:rRNA from 1 species